rnacentral:rRNA from 1 species
AUAUUUAGCACUUGUGUUAAAUAAUUUAGUGGCGAACGGGUGAGUAACACGUAAGAACUUACCCCUAGACGAGGUACAACAGUUGGAAACGACUGCUAAUACCUCAUAUUACCGGAAGGUGAAAGAAGCAAUUCGUCUAGGGCGAGGCUUGCGUCUGAUUAGCUUGUUGGUGAGGUAAAGGCUUACCAAGGCGACGAUCAGUAGUUGGUCUUAGAGGAUGAUCAGCCACAUUGGGACUGAGACACGGCCCAAACUUUUACGGGAGGCAGCAGUAAGGAAUUUUCCGCAGUGGGCGCAAGCCUGACGGAGCAAUACCGCGUGAAGGAUGACGGCCCAUGGGUUGUAAACUUCUUUUCUUGGAGAAGAAUUCUGACGGUAUCCAAGGAAUAAGCAUCGGCUAACUCCGUGCCAGCAGCCGCGGUAAGACGGGGGAUGCAAGCGUUAUUCGGAAUUAUUGGGCGUAAAGCGUCUGUAGGUGGUAAGGAAAGUGUAAUGUUAAAGAUCAGGGCUCAACCCUGGGAAAGCAUUGCAAACUAUCUUACUUGAGUUCGGUAGGGGCAGAGAGAAUUCCCAGUGUAGCGGUGAAAUGCGUAUAUAUUGGGAGGAAGACCGGUGGCGAAGGCGUUCUGCUGGGCCGUAACUGACACCCAGAGACGAAAGCUAAGGUAGCAAAUAGGAUUAGAUACCCUAGUAGUCUUAGCUGUAAACGAUGCACACUAUGUUUUGCAAUUUGCAGAGCAAUAGCUAACGCGUUAAGUGUGCCGCCUGGGGAGUACAUUCGCAAGGAUGAAACUCAAAGGAAUUGACGGGGACCCGCACAAGCGGUGGAGCAUGUGGUUUAAUUCGAUGCAACGCGAAGAACCUUACCAAGAAUUGACAUGCUGCGAACGUUUACGAAAAGUAAAAAGU